GUGUUUUAGCAGCAUAUAUACUAAAAUUGAAAUGAUAUAGGGAAGACUACCAUGGAUCCUACAAAAGGAUGACAUGCAAAAGUAAGUUUUUUUCCUUUCUUUU